AAUUUGUAUCUCGUACUGUUAGACGCUCGCGAUUUUAUUCGUGCAGUUGUUUGACAUUUUUUUCAUUGUACGAGAUAUCAAUGCUGGUGGAUAUUUAGGAUUUGCGUACGUGCGAUCGCUUCGCGCGUUCGUACGUUUGUCGAAUUCGAUGUUCGAUACGAUGGAUUUUUUACAAAUUUCGCAAACGGUCAAUCGGUAAAACAAUCGAUGACGAACACGAACAAGAACAGCAGUGUUCUGUUUCGUUUCGAAAAUCGAUUCGAUUUUCCGUUGUGAAUUUUUUCAAUUCAAUCGUAUUCCGGACGCGUGCGAGUAGUUGCACUUUUCGAAAGUACUACUGCUGUCUGUUUGCGUUCGGACCAGCGAAAUUACUUUGAACAAAUUAGGGUGCUUAAAGCAGGCAAAUUUUUAAUGCCUUGAAUAUAAACAGCAUGGAAUAAUAGAAAAUGAUCUCGAUACUGUUUUCGUAAUUUGUUGUUUGCUGCUGCGUACGUUACAACGAUUUAUGUCGUAGUUUGUGCGUAGCUCGAGCAGCGAAAUAAAAUUGGCUUAAAGUGAAUGAAAUGUAUGCAAAUUCAUAAAAGACGUAACAAUACAACACUAUCGAUAAAAUACAACGUGCGCGCGAACGCUCGCACGCUUGCGUCCGAUUGGAAACAUUUCUAAUCGUUUUGUUUUCGAAUUAUUCUUUCGUACAUAAGUGUUGUACCUCUUGGAAUUUUUUUUUUCGUUUAUUCGGAAAAAAAAUCCACGUAUGUCUUACUCGCAGUUUUCUGUGUGGUAAUGGCAUUUCGCCAAAAAAAAAGAGUCUAAAUGGACGUAUGCCCGUUUAGUUUGUACGCUACAAAACGCUAGUUCGAUCGAGUUUUCGACAAAUCGUGUGUGUUUACAAUACGCGGUUUGUACAACGAAUUUUGUCGCUGUUGUCGUCGUCGUCGUGUUCGUUGUUGCUAUGUUUGUAUUUUGAUUGCGUUGAUUAUGUUUUCGUUUUCUGAAUUUGUGUUUUGUUCACGAC
rnacentral:rRNA from 1 species